rnacentral:tRNA from 1 species
GGGUUUGUGGUCUAGCUCGGUUAGGACGUUGCCCUCACACGGCAAAGAUCACCGGUUCAAAUCCGGUCGAACCCA